UAAAAAUUGUAGACUAAUAAUGAUGAUAAUAUUAUGUUCAUCGAUAGGUGCAACUUCCAGAUCAAUAUUAUCUACAGCCACACGAGUGCAUUGUGCAUAUUAUAAUAUUAUAAUUUCGAGUGAAACGAUUCAUAUCAACAAUAUUGACUGCAGCGCAUACAUGCAUAAUAUUAUAUUAUAUAUUACGUGUAGAACAGUAGCACUGCUACCGCCACACUACAUUAUAUUUAUUACACAUUUUAGCAAAUGCUAUGACGUAUAUAAUAUUAUAGUUGUUGCAAUUUUGCAAACAGUACCUACCUACCCCCGAGGAACCGCGACCAUUAAUCGACGAGCCAUUUUGUUUCCGACCAUAAUAUUCGAUUCAUGGUUUUUGAGCGAAACAACGAUGACAAGGUGAGAAUUUUUUAUAUGACAGUUCCAAUAGAAAAUGAAUUGAUAUGGUAAUGCGUUAUUGGACAGACGACUUGUGUGUUCAGUGUACACACAUUUUUUAAUUAUUUUGUUACGCGACAGUUCCGCGUAUAUGCUGCUAUUUGAUUAUAAUAAUACAAUUUUGUUCUUCAGCAGUCAGCAUUCACCGCAGAGUAUUUGAAAAUUCAUUCGUGUAAUUUAUAUAUAAUUAUUAUUUUUUUUUUUUCAUGUUUUUCCUUUAUUUUAUUCAAUGAUAAGAUAAAGGUUUGAAAAAAAAAUGACUGGCGCGUAGUAUAUGUGAUAAACGAACCUAUUGAUCGCAGUAAUACAUUAUAUACCUUUUAUAUUAUAUUAUUAUAAAAAGAAUAUGAAAUAAUGUACAUGUUUUAUAAUGGAUCAAUAAACCAUACCCCGUAAAUAUAAUAAGUAUAUAAAAAAAUGAAUGAACAAAUUGUUUACAUUUAUUUUACACUGCAGUACCUAUACAUUAUUAUUAUAAUAAUAUUAUUAUGCUGGGAUUAUCAGAUCAAAGGCGUGUCCCGUGUUAUUUGUGACGAAAAUCUUAUAAUUUCCUGUACUACGGACAUAUGCGUUUUUAUAUUAAAUUGGUGUUCUUUAUAUUAUUUCCGAAAAAUCUCCGAUAAGAAAUCUGAAAUUUACCAUUUCAAUUGCCAAGGAUUUUGUUAUAAAAAUAUACGAUUCAAUUUUGAUAUCACGCAUAUUUUAUUAGUGACCGACUUCGUUUGUGACUACAUAUAAUAUUAUUAGGUACUUCUACUCAUAAUAAUAUAUGCAUUUGAUUUAUUACAAUAAAACAACGGUGUAAUUUGAAUGCCCCCAUACAGGCAUAUAGAGCUUCUGCGGGUAUUAAAACGGUUUAAUAAAUAAAUGACUUUCCGCAGUUACGACAUUUUCACGGUGCUUCAAUUUUUUUGUUGAAAAUCAUUCCCGGAUUGACCACUACGUCGAGAUAUCAUCGACCUACCAUAGUAAAUCUAACAGAUUCAAAUCGUCUCUCGCGUAUCAUAUAAUAUUAUAUAGUACUCGCAUAUAAUAUAGUCUCUAGUACAUGACACUAUAUCGAGUGUCAACUACCGACGGGAAUUGGUAAAUUUAUUUUUUUAUUCGAUGACGUAGGUAUAUAACCUAUGAGAGGCGCGAGCUUCACGAUAAACCGACAUCGCGAUACGCGACGUCGUCGUCUCUUAUAUCAUAUUAUUAUAAAGUCAUUCUGAACUCAAUCAAUAGUCGUUUCACGUGUGUAUAAUAAUGUUAAUUAGGUAUAUAAUAUAAUAUUAUAAUACCAUGUAUUUCGCAAUAGUCAAAUUUUCAAUUAGUUUUUUCACAUAGCGUUCUCGCGCGGGCCCGCUCGGCGAUGCACCAUCACUGUACUUACAUUAUUGUAUAUAUACACUAUACAGUACAUACAGUUGUUGGAAAACCGUUAUUUUUUUCCCAUAGUGUAUAUGAUAUAUUUUGUCGAUAAAAUCUCGCGCAGAAAACGACUCUCGGAGAAAUCGAUUUUUCCCCUCCGAUUGCCCACGGGUCGAGAAGACCGCAUCCGCCGUACGUGUCGUACUAUACUGCGUCACUGCUGCCACCGCCGCAGUUGCCACUGCUGCAGCAGGCGAGAACCGAAAACCACUUAACCGGAUUAGCUAUAUUAUUAUUAUUAUUAUUAUUAUAAAACAUACGUAUUCCCGUUGGCCGGGUGUUCCGAAACCCAAUAGCAACACACGAUGAGGACACACGGACGUCGUGUAUGCAUUAUCGUUAUCAGUAAUGUGGUUUUUUUCCUAUCGACCUUGUAUGAAGUAUAAAAAAUGAAAAAAUUUAUUUUUUAAGAACACACACACGACGCACACUCCUAAGAGCUGUAGUUGGUUAUUAAUAUUUAAUACGGUUCACAGAGAUAACAAUACUGGAUUGAUCAGUGCGUGUGAUCGUCACGGUUUUCGUCGCGUCUGCUGUGCGGAGCCAUCGCUCGCGCGGAGCGGCGAUUCGUGCCCAUAAUAUCUUCUACGUUGUUCUACGGUCGUGGCUGCGCGGCUUAUUUAACGGUGGCGUUGCGAACUACUGUGACUUUCGAACCAGGUGGUAUAACAUCAUAAUUGUUGCGUACUUUAAACCUACACUUGACCCGGUAAUGGUUCUAUCAACACACAAUUUACCAUAAGCGCAUAAAUUAUUCUAUAAUACACCAAAAAUCGUUAGUGUAAAAAUAAAUAAAUUAUUAUAAUAAACAAAUCCAGUGUAUACUCUAUUAUUAAGUCCGGACAUAAUUUUAUAGCACGCGGGCGACGGGGCGAAGAAAAAAGCGAUUUAAAUACGAAAGGCAACACGGACGUGACACGGCAGUAACAAUAGAAUUAAAUCCACAAUAUGUGCACAACUUUGGUAAAAAAAAAUUAUAAUAAUAGUGUAAAUGUGUAAGCAUGCAUAGAUGAA